rnacentral:rRNA from 1 species
GAGGGUGCAAGCGUUAAUCGGAAUUACUGGGCGUAAAGCGCACGCAGGCGGUUUGUUAAGUCAGAUGUGAAAUCCCCGCGCUUAACGUGGGAACUGCAUUUGAAACUGGCAAGCUAGAGUCUUGUAGAGGGGGGUAGAAUUCCAGGUGUAGCGGUGAAAUGCGUAGAGAUCUGGAGGAAUACCGGUGGCGAAGGCGGCCCCCUGGACAAAGACUGACGCUCAGGUGCGAAAGCGUGGGGAGCAAACAGGAUUA